rnacentral:rRNA from 1 species
AUGGCGGAAUCCAACUCGUACGAGGAGCAGCGCCGGAGGCAGAUUGAGGAGAACCGCCGGAAGCUGGAGGAGCUCCGCCUGCACCAUCUUUCCGCCGCCGUCCGUGAGGCCGCCGCCAGGCCCAAGCCCAACCCCAAGCCCAGGCCAAAGCGCAAGGCCCCGGGGCCCGGCGAGCUCCGGCGGUCCGGCCGCGUGGCCGGCCUCCCGGAGCAGCCCAACUACCUCAAGGGCGCACAGCAGCGCGACUACCAGGGAAUGUACGACGAUGUUAUUCGGAAAGGACCGACCGACGCUGACGAACAGAUGGCCGCCGCCGCCGCCGCCAAACAAAAGGCGGAGGAGCUCAAGCAACGGAUUCACGGCAUCCGCUGGCCCGCCUUCGUCAAGCCCGUGACCCACGACUGCGCCAGCAGGGCAGCCGUAAUGACAAUCCCGAAGCACUUCAUCGAGCAUCUCCCGGCGCAUGAUGAGGCGGUCGUCUUGGUGGACGAGGCGGAUGACGAGUUCCACAUGAUGUACAAUGCCAGGCACCACUUCCUCGGGAAGGGGUGGAGAGGGUUCGCCGCCCACCAUGACCUCGUCGACGGCGAUUGCUUGGUUUUCCAACUGACAGAGAGGACAAAGUUCAAGGUGAGAUUUAGCAUCUUCACCAUUCCACGUUCAGUCAAGUUGGCCAGGUUGAGGGAGAUCCGUUCUUGGUUUGACAACACAAGACAGAUGAGCUGGACGGCAAUGGCCACUCUCAAGAAUUUGGCGAAGAAGGAGAGGGCAAAGCUUUUCCCCCAGCCCGCGCAACCGAUUCAGAAGAUCGAGAUCCUCCUCUGGGCGAUGGAGCAGGCCAAUUCGUCCAGCGAGUGGACCAGGCGGAGGUGGUGGGCGUUCAGAUCCAGGGUAGAGCAUCCACUGGAUCAGGAACCCAUCGUGCACGAGGUGCCGUUGCAGAUUGUGCAGCCUCCAACCGAGUCACCGGAGACUUCGAAGCGCAAGAUGAGGAGGACAAUGGUCGCGACCUCGCUUCCCCGCCGUUCUCCACGCUUCCCUCGCCGCUCUCCUCGUCUGAACGGCGGCGGUAGCUAUGUUUAG